UCUAAAGCCUUUCCAUACUGGUGCUCGAUGUUUUCAGUUUGGGGACACCAAAAUUAGUGUACCGCUAAAGACACGUGGUCGACACGUUGUUGACACGUUGUUGACACUUUGUUGACACGUGACCCAAUUACCGGCCUACCAAGUGCCUUUGGCGACCGCUAACAGCAACUGUGGAACAGUGCAGUGCCCUUUUUUGGAGCAACGUACGAGUAGUGCCCAUGGAUUAUGACCCCGCGACCCCAAUCUACGUGGCGGUCCGCAAUUCGCUACUUCAUACUGACUGGCGUCCGGCAUCGUCCCGAAUUUGGCCACAAUCUGCUCUCGGGACCCCUAUAGGGCUCCCUGACCUGCUCCAUCUCCGCCAUCGUCAAUGUACUGCGCAUCCACCCAGGCCAGGACUGCACUUACUUACGAGAAGGAGUAUUUGCAAGAUGGAACCUGGGAACUGGAAGACGACGAAGAGGAAGCGUGGGAAUCCGGCGGCAAUGGCUGGGAUGACUGAACUUACGGGAAGGAGUGCUUCCAAGAUGGGAGACGAAGAAGAAGAAGCCGCUGAAUCCGGCGGCAAUGGCUGGGAUCCUGCGUUCUCGAGAGGAAGCGUUAUUUCUGCAUUCCAAGAAGGACGGCACAAUGUGUCGGACUGUCCGCGUCGCAUUGAACUGGUCCGAUGAGGCUGCUAUUGCACACACAGUGUGGGCACUCCCAUACGGGAACUCGGAAGUACUGCUACAGUACAGGUAUAUCACCCCGUGACGACCACAUCGAAGUCUGAAAUUGAAGUGUGAAGAUGCUUCAGCAACCCCUUCAUAUUUUUCCAUUGCUUUUAUUGUGCUUCUACUGUGCAUGUGUGUAACUUGUGGGGUAUGCAUGUGAUGACAAUGUAUGCCGGUGGCACAGUCAGAUUUUGUCAAUGCGUGUAACGUACACCUGCAUGCUAUCGUUGAAAAGGAUCUGCCACUUACGAUCUUCGGACGAGUAUCAGGUCAGCUUGGUUUUGUGUGUGCUGUACCAGAUGCUGUUCACUUCUCUAUCUGUUGGAUAUGUGACUUUCUGCAAGUUUCUGGUGUAUGGUGGCCACUUCUUUGCUCGUCUUUAAAUGACAUUACCAUAAUUCUGUAUUCACUGCUUCCAUGGUGUGGUCUGCAAACUGCAAUCCUUAGGCAAAUAUCAUCACGGUUUGCAAUGUUGUGCUUUGGCCGCCAGCUUACCUACACAUUGUAGUUGAAUUAUUUUUGUUUCACAACUGACUUCCUGAAGUAUGGUGGCCACUGCUUUCCAUGGCAUUAUACAAUGUUCAUCAAGAA